ensembl:lncRNA
AUGUAUUGUGCUUUUAGCAUCAUUGCUUUUUUUGACCAGUUUCAGAUUACACACUGUUCGAGGUCAGAGAAGCGAGUGGAACACGUGGCAUGCCAGGUCGUGCAGGGAGCAGUUUUCCCUUUAGCGUCUAAGCUUUUUGAGGACGGGUACUUAGGAAGAAGUUUACCUGUGGCACCAGGUACAGUUGCUUUGAGGGCGGGAACACCCACUAAACCUCUAAGCAAAUGUGGAAAUUUAUCUUUCUUGAGGACACAAGCUGACAAAUUCCAGCCUAUAUACCAACCUGAAAGACCAAGCAAGCCUUGGAAAAAAAAUGAAGCGCUGGCCAGUCCAGAGCGAGGCAGAAGAUUGAGUCAGGGGUUUCAUCUUAGUCAAAAGGAUGCACCUUCUUCUUCUCCCUCCUGGCAUAUCUGCCUCAUGAGUCCUGAGCCCAGGUUAUCGUCCACUCAGGACCUGGCCUGUCCUCUCCGCUGCCGUAUCCCAAGCCACAGUCAGCUUCAUGGCCAGGUGACAUUCAACAGAGACAAGGUGAGAGUUUCUCAAAACUCUUCCUUACAAAGGCAGUUAAAAAAAAAGAAACGAGUGAAGCAAAGUAAAGCAAAGUAUAGAAUUCAAAAUGCCUUAACAGGACGUGUUUUGUAGAGCCCGUGAUUGAAUGCAAAUCAAGGAAACUUGGCCAUCAGACAGAUCCCAGAGUGUCAGAGCAGUGAGGGACCUUCAGAGAGUUUCCAGCCCACCCUCGUGACCUUGUAGACAGGCCCUCGAGCCUGGGAGGGAAGGACUUCCCCAGAGUUAACAUCAGCAUCAGCGUCAGUGUCAGAGCUGGCCCAGGACCCGCAUCUUCUCCUGGUCCAGUUCUGUUUCCAGACAUGAUGCUUCUGCUGUUCCAGCCUCCUAAAACGGUCGUUCCUCAGGCCCACAUGUGUUGAAAUAGCUCUUUUUUUUUUUUUCUUUAGCAGUCUCUGUGCUAGCAAAUAGAUUUUUUAGCAGUCUCUACGGAACAGAUAAUGCAUUCUUUUGGUUUCCAAAUCAAAUAUUAUCAGGGAAUGGCAUAAAAAGCCUUUCUCCUUCCCCUGCCUCUGUUUCUCCUAUCUAUAGACAAUGCUUCUUCUUAGCUUCUUGUUCUUUUUUUUUUUUUCUAGGAAUUUUUUUUGCAUAUGUAAGCAAUUUGAUGAAAUACUCUCUCCCCCCUUUUUUUUUUAAACACAAAUUAUAGCACACUGUAUACUCUGAUUUCGCUUUUUCCCCUCAAGUUUUUAUCUUGGAAAACUCCCCAAAGGAAUGUACAGGGAGUGCCCUCAUUCAUCUUUGCAGCAGCAAAGUUUUCCAUUACACAAUGGGGAUCCUAGUUUAUUUAGUUGGUCCUCCAGGGGUGUCAAUUUUGAUGGUUUCCAACAUUUUGCUCUUAUAAACAACACUGCAGGAGAUACCUGUAUAUACCUGUCAUUUCGUGUGUUUGUGAUUCAUAUAUGUAAGAUAAAUUCCGCAAAGAUGAAGUAGAAGAAUCUUAAGGGUAUAUGUAUUUGUCGUUUUGAUAGACGUUGCUGAAUUGCCCCAGUAACCGUCGUGUCAGUGUAGACUCUUAUAAUGUUUGCAAGUUCCUCUUUCUCCAGGUCCUCUCCAACACAGCCUGUCAGCAGAUUUCAUAUCUUUGCAUAUUGGAUGAUGAGGAGAUGGUAUUUCAGUAUUUAAAAAUUCAAGCUAUAGGAAUAUUAACGUUAAUAACUGAACCGAAUCUCCCUCCUCAUUGCUUCUGAAUUCCCUUCCCAGGAUACACUCACUUUGAUUAUAGGGAUCUCAUUAUGUAAUUUCUUUUUCUUUUUUCUUUUUUGCUUUUUAGGGCCUCCCAGGUUAGAGGCCACAUCAGAACUGCCAGCCUACGCCACAGCCACAGUAACAUCAGAUCCAAGCCGUAUCUGUGCCCUAUGCCUCAGCUCACAGCAAUGCUGGAUCCUUAACCCACAGAGUAAGGCCAGGGAUUGAACCCAGCAUCCUUAUUGAUACGAGACAGGUUCAUAACCCGCUGAGCCACACCGAGAACUCUGGUAAUUUUUUUUUUUUAAACUCAAAAUACAUCCUUCGCAUUAUUCAGAACAGCACAUAUCUGCCUCAUUCAUCCAUAUAAUGGUUAUUGCAUUUAUUAGGUUUUAGAUCCUGGAGAUAAAGCCCUAAACAAAACCAGAUACUUUCCGUGUCUUGUGGAACUUGUAUUCACUUGGGAAGACAUGUUAAAAAUGGAUAAACAGGGAGUUCCCGUCGUGGCGCAGUGGUUAACGAAUCCGACUAGGAACCAUGAGGUUGCGUUCGGUCCCUGCCCUUGCUCAGUGGGUUGAUGAUCCGGCGUUGCCGUGAGCUGUGGUGUAGGUUGCAGAUGCGGCUCGGAUCCCGAGUUGCUGUGGCUCUGGCGUAGGCCGGUGGCUACAGCUCCGAUUAGACCCCUAGCCUGGGAACCUCCACAUGCCGCGGAAGCAGCCCAAAGAAAUAGCAAAAAAAGACAAAAAAAAAAAAAUGGAUAAACAAGUAGACUGUUAUUUAAGAAAAUGCGAAGUGUCUUGAAGACUACACAGGGUGACUCGGUGACGGGGCUAAGGUGGGGACAUGGCUUGCCCCCCCCUGGUUGUUAGGAACACAUAGGAUAAUGGCUGUUGAAGGAGCAAAGUGCUCUCCCAAGCUUAUUGUUGCUAGUAGUAAUUUGUUUGAUUAGUUCGUUUUGACCUGAACUGACCUGCUGCCAGGGUAUUUUGUAGACAGAACUUUCAGACCACCGUGAGUAGUGCUGCAGAGGGGCUGAGCUAGAGACAGAAAAGGCCCUUCCAGUUCCCCUCAUGGGCUGGUGCUAGAAACACAAAUGUCAGUCUGAUUCCUGAGGACGAGAGCCAGACUCAGAGGAGAGAAGAUGGUCUCCUCCCUUUCACCAAGCCGUGAACAUCUCCUUGUCUCGUGCAGGUACAGCAGAUCCCGCUGGAUUUGGAGCCACGCGGAUUCGGUUGCGGGAGAGCCCUGCUCAGAGGAUCAGGUGCAGGGAGCUGUUUCUGAUUCCUGUCCCUUGCUGCCACGUGACUCUGGACAAGCCUCGGCGGAGACUUGAAGACUUCUGAGCAGGUAGCUUGAUGAGAAGCCGAGUCACUUGCUGCCGUUUCGAUUCUGGCCGGUUCAUCAUGAGUCUUGGGUCCUCCUUCAGGAACCAGCCAGACCCCCUCCUUGGACUUCAGUUCUGGCCUAAGUCUUAUGUGUACUUACGUACCAGAUUCUCCCCGUGUUUAGCUCCCACUUCCCUCUCCUGGAGGCCUUGGUCGGGUGACCUGUUCUCAGACCUCCCAGAAAACUCUGGCCAUUGCCAGCUUCCAGGCCUGUGGUUCCAUGUCCCUGGUGCUGGGGCGCACCUGUCUCCGCCUGUCUUGCGGGGCUGCUCUCAGGCUGCUCUCAUCUCUGCGUUUCCUCAGACGCCGCCUUCCCAGAGCGUCUUCCCACCCCUCUGCCCUCACCUCAAAAGCUCGUCUGGUUUCCACCUUCUCCCUCUUGCCCGUACCGUGGCGGGAGGGAGAGACUGGACUCGAGCCCAGGUUGACAGCCAACUUCGUCUUUAGCUCUGAAACUUACUUGGCACACUUGACUUUUAAGUGGCGGCCCCAAGCAAAUCAAAGCCUUGCUUAGGCGAGUUAAAUCCGAAGAGAAACACCCAGUCGCUUACUAAACACAGCUGACAUCACAGGACCCGAGACUCUCAAAGUCUCAUUCCAGAUCCUGAACUAGGUGGUCUAGUCUCUCCUCUUGUAUUCCGCUCAGAACUCAGUAGCCUGCUAGGGCCAUACAGUGAGAGCAGCCAAAUCCAGCUUCUGGACUGUGUUCCCCUCAAACAGAAUCUGUGUUACCUCUGCUGCCCUGUGUUACUCCAGCUGCCCUAUGCUACCUCUGCUGCCCUGUGUUACCUCUGCUGCCC